GCCUAACACAUGCAAGUCGAGCGGAGAUACAUGUCUAAGAGAUUCGGUCGAAUUAAUGUAUCUUAGCGCGGAUGGGUGAGGAACGCGUGGAGAACCUGCCUUCACAGGGGGAUAACAGCUGGAAACGGCUGUUAAUACCGCAUAUGCUCACAGGAUCGCAUGAUCCAGGGAGGAAAGCCGAGACGGUGAAGGAUGGCUCCGCGUCGGAUUAGCCAGUUGGCGGGGUAACGGCCCACCAAAGCGAUGAUCCGUAGCCGGCCUGAGAGGGCGACCGGCCACAUUGGGACUGAGACACGGCCCAAACUCCUACGGGAGGCAGCAGUGGGGGAUAUUGCACAAUGGGGGGAACCCUGAUGCAGCCGACGCCGCGUGAAGGAGGAAGUGCUUCGGCAUGUAAACUUCUAUCAGCAGGGAAGAAGAUGACGGUACCUGACUAAGAAGCCCCGGCUAACUACGUGCCAGCCGCUGC
rnacentral:rRNA from 1 species